rnacentral:rRNA from 1 species
AUUGAACGCUGGCGGCAGGCCUAACACAUGCAAGUCGAACGGUAACAGGAAACAGCUUGCUGUUUCGCUGACGAGUGGCGGACGGGUGAGUAAUGUCUGGGAAACUGCCUGAUGGAGGGGGAUAACUACUGGAAACGGUAGCUAAUACCGCAUAACGUCGCAAGACCAAAGAGGGGGACCUUCGGGCCUCUUGCCAUCGGAUGUGCCCAGAUGGGAUUAGCUAGUAGGUGGGGUAACGGCUCACCUAGGCGACGAUCCCUAGCUGGUCUGAGAGGAUGACCAGCCACACUGGAACUGAGACACGGUCCAGACUCCUACGGGAGGCAGCAGUGGGGAAUAUUGCACAAUGGGCGCAAGCCUGAUGCAGUCAUGCCGCGUGUAUGAAGAAGGCCUUCGGGUUGUAAAGUACUUUCAGCGGGGAUGAAGGGAGUAAAGUUAAUACCUUUGCUCAUUGACGUUACCCGCAGAAGAAGCACCGGCUAACUCCGUG